CUAGAUGUCACCAGUUUUAUGAUGGGCCCUGGCUAGUCAUGAUUUUGUGUGACAAGAUAAACUCUGGCCCUCAGAUCACUGUCCAGAGAAUAAAAUAGCUGCCUAAACUACAAAACUCGGUGCCCAGACAUUUCAGCACGGUGUUUCUAAUUCUGUUUCUUAAAUGGGAUCUAUUUUAGCAUGAUUGUUGAACUAGGCUUUUCAGAUUUCAGUUGUUUUGUUAUCUGAAGUUAUGUGCCCAGGGCCUCAGGACUGAGAAAUUCUGAAGAUGAAAAUAGUUGACAGCUCUUGAAAGGCAACAUUCUGGAACUUCAUGGACCCCCAGCAUGGAGACUGGUGAGAAAGAGGCCUGAGAUCUGACCUGAUGUCUUGGACUGGCUGGAUGCAGAAGAGUGGUGAGAAGCACCCACUGGGGAACCCCCAGGGGAAGAAAGCUCAGAGCACCCACUGUGGAAACCCCAAGAGAACCCCCAGGGAAAGAAAGCUCAGAGCCAGGGGACUGGUGAUGGGACAGCAAUGGGUGGUCAGAGGGAGAAGAGGAAGCAGACUGGGAGAAGGACGUGUCAGAUGCUGAAGAGGCAACAGGGCUUUGGGAGUGGGGAGAGGCUGUGGCAGAGAAAAUCCAGAAUCACACAAUACUAAUGGCACUCCCGCCAACUAAAAUGGCGCUCCCGCCAAAACAAGAUGGCGGUCCUGCCAAAACUAAUAGGGGGCCAAACUUCUCCCCGAAGAAGGGAACCCAAAAUGGCGGCCAGACUUAGAGGGAGGGGAGAUUUACGCCCUUGGAAAAUUCCCAACCACCCUCUACGCAAAACGGGCACACAGAA